GAUGAACGCUGGCGGCGUGCCUAAUACAUGCAAGUCGAGCGAACAGACCAGGAGCUUGCUCCUCUGACGUUAGCGGCGGACGUGUGAGUAACACGUGGAUAACCUACCUAUAAGACUGGGAUAACUUCGGGACACCGGAGCUAAUACCGGAUAAUAUAUCGAACCGCAUGGUUCAUUAGUGAAAGACGGCUUUGCCGUCACUUAUAGAUGGAUCCGCGCCGCAUUAGCUAGGUGGUAAGGUAACGGCUUACCAAGGCACCGAUGCGUAGCCGACCCGAGAGGGUGAUCGGCCACACUAGAUCUGAGACACGGUCCAGACUCCUACGGGAGGCAGCAGUAGGGAAUCUUCCGCAAUGGGCGAAAGCUUGACGGAGCGACGCCGCGUGAGUGAUGAAGGUCUUCGGUUCGUAAAGCUCUGUUAUGAGGGAAGAACAAAUGUGUAAGUAACUAUGCACGUCUUGACGGUACCUAAUCAGAAAGCCACGGCUAACUACGUG
rnacentral:rRNA from 1 species